CAGACGGGUGAGUAACACGUGAACAACCUACCCUCGAGUGGGGAAUAACUCCACGAAAGCGGGGCUAAUACCGCAUAACAUCCCAGAAUCGCAUGGUUUCGGGACCAAAGGCUUCGGUCGCUUGAGGAGGGGUUCGCGCCUGAUUAGCUUGUUGGUGAGGUAACGGCUCACCAAGGCUGCAAUCAGUAGCCGGCCUGAGAGGGUGAACGGCCACACUGGAACUGGGACACGGUCCAG
rnacentral:rRNA from 1 species